ensembl:lncRNA
GUUUUUGCAGAACUGCAGGAGUUACAAGUCCUUAAUCCCGACUUCUCCAGCAAGGAAUCACUGUCGCUGCUUACCCCAACCCAAGUGGCACAAUUGACAUUGACCUCUGGGGCAUUGAAUGACACAGAUGACAUUAAACUUGUGUUUACGCGGCUGGAGGAAGGAGACGCUUUCAAAAAUGUUGACGAGUUUCUGACGCAACUGACCGCAAAGGAAGAGAUUCCUGACAUCCAUCCAGCCGUGAGAGAUGUGAUGAUGAAUCAGACGUUCAACAUCAUCAGCCUUCAAUUCCCAGAGUUCGAAACGCUGGACUGGAUUGCAUGGUUCAAAGUAAAGCUGAUUCCCAUCCUCCCCAGUUUUAAUGAAGUCAUGCUCACCAUUGCUACCUCAAACGUCAACUGCACCAACUACCAAGUCAUUGUAAAUGGAAUGGACAGAGCUUUCCAUGAAAUGACUCAGGAUAGAAGAGAAGGAAUCGCAAGAGUCCUGCUGAAAUACCUGAGGAAAUCUGUGCACCUCAUCAAUGG